GAUCAUGGCUCAGGAUGAACGCUAGCUACAGGCUUAACACAUGCAAGUCGAGGGGCAGCGGGAUUGAAGCUUGCUUCAAUUGCCGGCGACCGGCGCACGGGUGAGUAACGCGUAUCCAACCUUCCGUACACUCAGGGAUAGCCUUUCGAAAGAAAGAUUAAUACCUGAUGGUAUGAUGAGAUUGCAUGAUAGCAUCAUUAAAGAUUCAUCGGUAACGGAUGGGGA
rnacentral:rRNA from 1 species